rnacentral:rRNA from 1 species
UUGCCUACGGGUGGCAGCAGUGGGGAAUAUUGGGCAAUGGGCGCAAGCCUGACCCAGCGACGCCGCGUGGGGGAAGAAGUCUUUCGGGACGUAAACCCAUGUUGUACGGGACGAAGGAAGUGACGGUACCGUACGAGGAAGCCCCGGCAAACUACGUGCCAGCAGCCGCGGUAAUACGUAGGGGGCGAGCGUUGUCCGGAAUCACUGGGCGUAAAGCGCACGUAGGCGGGCUGUUAAGUCGGCCGUGAAAUACACUGGCUCAACCGGUGCAGGUCGGUCGAUACUGGCGGUCUGGAGUAUGGGAGAGGGAACUGGAAGUCCCGGUGUAGCGGUGAAAUGCGUAGAUAUCGGGAGGAACACCAGUGGCGAAGGCGGGUUCCUGGCCCAUGACUGACGCUGAGGUGCGAAAGCCGGGGGAGCGAACGGGAUUAGAUACCCUUGUAGUCAC